rnacentral:rRNA from 1 species
CGAAUGGGUGCGUAACACGUGGGAAUUUAUCCGGAAGUGGGGGAUAGCUUGCCGAAAGGCAAAUUAAUACCGCAUAUGCCCGUAAGGGCAAAGUGGGGGACCGCAAGGCCUCACGCUAUCGGAGGAGCCCGCGCCCUAUCAGCUAGUUGGUGAGGUAAUGGCUCACCAAGGCUUAGACGGGUAGCUGGUCUGAGAGGACGACCAGCCACACUGGAACUGAGACACGGUCCAGACACCUACGGGUGGCAGCAGUCGAGGAUUUUUCUCAAUGGGGGCAACCCUGAAGGAGCGACGCCGCGUGGAGGAUGAAGGGCUUCGGCUCGUAAACUCCUGUCACCGACGAACAAGGCAUCCGGAUUAAUAAAUCGGAUGCUUGAUGGUAGUCGGAGAGGAAGGGGCGGCUAACUCUGUGCCAGCAGCCGCGGUGAUACAGAGGCCCCAAGCGUUGUUCGGAUUUACUGGGCGUAAAGGGUGUGUAGGGGGUCGGGUAAGUUUGACGUGAAAUCCCGUUGCUCAACAACGGAACUGCGUCGAAUACUGCUCGGCUGGAGGUUCGGAGAUGAGGGCGGAAUUCUCGGUGUAGCGGUGAAAUGCGUAGAUAUCGAGAGGAACGCCGACGGCGAAAGCAGCCCUCAAGACGAAAUCUGACCCUGAAACACGAAGGCCAGGGGAGCAAACGGGAUUAGAUACCCCGGUAGUC